rfam:Shigella dysenteriae Sd197, complete genome.
AAUUUCUUGUCGGAGUGCCUUAACUGGCUGAGACCGUUUAUUCGGGAUCCGCGGAACCUGAUCAGGCUAAUACCUGCGAAGGGAACAAGAGUUAAUCUGCU